CUGGGUAUAUCGUUCGACAGUCACGUCUUCGGGGCAUCAGAGAUUUCCGCAAGCAGCGUAAACGACAGUUUAAUCAUCCGUACACCGUCUACGGGAUAUUUCUCAUCGGUGGAUCGGUUUUUAUGAGCUCGUAUAGGCAACACGCCAUGGUGGAAGCUCAUGCAUCAGCCGCUCCGACUCAUGAUUUCCCCAUUAGAAUGCCGUUCGUCAUGUCAACGCGCGUCGAGAUAGAUAUUUCAUGGUGAACGAAGCGAACAGAUGCCUCACGGAUGUCGGGGCAAAAGUACAUAUUCCUCCAUCGCUGAGCCAGUCUACAGUGAAUCCGCAGGUACCGGUAUAUCCGAUCAAGCAAACCGAAGGCAGAUGAUUUUGUAGGCAAACUGACCAGACCGGCGGCAAGCAAGAAUUCGCAUAGCUGGAUUCGCAGCUGAGGGAGUGUAUCGAGGCGAGCGUGUCGUUCGAUUCGAUUAGCUUUGUCCGAGAACGGUAUUCGCGGCGCGCAUAUUAGCAAAGGCACGCAGUCGACGGUGGGCAGGGGUGCAUCGGGUUCGCCAGGUAUUCCUUUCGGCCAGCGUACGGCAACCCCAAGCGAGUUAAUCAACGAGAUGCAUUCAGAGGGAUAGAUCGGCAAGCGAGG
rnacentral:misc_RNA from 1 species